CGGCUGGGCACGGGCAGGGCAGGGGCUCGGGCUCACCUGCGCCCCGCAGGGCGGGCGGGGAAGCCCGGGCAGGGCGGGGGCGCGGCGCCUGCUUGCGCUGCCUGGCAGGUGGGGCCUGCCCGGCACCCCCUGCUCUGGUCUGGCCCGGCCUGAGGUGCGGCUCCCCCCCUCCGUAAAAAGAGCCCAGGCCGCAGCUCCCUGCUCACCUCUUCUGCCCCCGCAUCGAGCCGGGUUUCUAGCCUCCCCUCCCGCCCCGCGGGUGGCUCUGUGCUGGGGCACAUCCCCCCAGAUGCCCCUCACACAAGGUUUGAAUGGCACUAUGACUCCGAGGGGCAGCACAGUACCUAGAGUCCUGGCGCACCACCUUCGCCAGAGAGAAAUGAUCAUAAUUAUUUAAAAAUGACCAUUUCAUAGAUUUCAUAGACAUUCGGGGCUGAAAGGGACCUCAUGAGAUCAUUGGGUCCAGCCUGAUGAUUUACGCGCCCGCUUUCUGUCUGGUGCCUGGUUUGCCCAUGCCUGUGUCCGGCCUAGGGUGGCCCUCGAGGUACCUCAGCUGUGCCCACCACCACGAACGUCACGUGCCUCCCACGGCUCGGGGGUCAUGGAGAGGUCCCACAGGCGGCAGGAGCGGGGAGCUCCUUCAGGUUGAGAAACAUUGGACUAGAUGAUCUCCUGAGGUUCCUUCCAACUCCUCACCUGCUGAGACCCAGAGCACUGGUGAGGCCUCCCCUGGAGUACUGUGUUCCCUUUUAGGCUCCACACGUCACUUCAAGAAAGAUGUGGACAGUUUGGAAAGAGUCCAUUACAGAGCAACACAAAUGAUUGGGAGUCUGAGAGACAAGACUUAUGAGGAAAGCCUGAAAGAGGUUUCAAAGCCAAAAGGGACCACUGGACUCUCCAAUAUAGCCUGCUGUAUAACAUGGGCCAGGGAAUUUCAUCCAGUUACUUCUGUAUUGAGCCCCAUAACUUAGGUUUGAUAAUAGUAUUUCUUUCCUAAAGGCAUCCAGUGUCGAUCUGAAGAUUUCAACAGCAGAACAAUUCACUGUGAACUGGUAUGAUGGACCUGAGUGAAAUUUUUGUCUUCAGUAGUGCUCAUUCACAUCUGUUUCUGAGCCUGGAGUCAGUAGAGGGGUGGUGGACUCUCUGGGGAACUGCAUCCUGCUGUAAUGUUUCUGUUUUCCACCAGACCUGAAUAACAGCAACAUUCUGAUAUAGAAGGAUGGCCCAUUUAUCAUGUUACCCAUUCCUUUGUAACUUUUGUGUUCUAGCGGUACCUCUGAGGUGCAUACUGACAUGAUGAAUCCUCAUGUUCAAGGUGUACAACUAAGUGCUAUUAAGUAUGAAACAUAAAAUGAUAGAGUCAGAAUUGGAAGGGACCUCAAAGGUUACUUAACCAACCCCCCAGCGCAAAUACAGGAUGUGCUAGUCUGCUUCAAAACUUUUACCAGAGGAGGUUCCAUAGCUUCUCUAUGUUGCUUAUAUUACUGUAUUUAGGAAGUUCUUCCUGAGAUUUAAUCUGAAUCUGCUCUUCUGUCAUGUAAACCCAUUGCCUUGUGGCCUGCCCUCUCUGGCAAGGCAGAACAAUAUCUCUCCAACAUUUGGCAGCUUUUCAAAUAUUUGAAGACUGCUAUCUAAUAUUUGAAGCCAUGCAAAUAUUUGAAGACCGCCACCCUUAAUCUCCUUUUCUCCUGACUAACCAUAUCUAGGUCUCUCCAUCGUUCCUUACACAGCUUGCCUUCUAAAACCUUUGUCAUCGUUGUUGCUUAUCUCUGGAUGCUUCAGGGUCUCUAUCUCCUUCUUAAACUGUGGUGCUUAGAACUUGACACAAUACUCUGGCUGAGGCCCAACUAGCACCAAGUAGAGUGGUAUUAUUACCUCCCAUGCUUUGCAUAUAAUACUUUUGCUUUGCUAUUUUUUUUGUAACAGCAUCACAUGACCAACUCAUGUUGAUCUUGUGAUUCACCAUAACCCCAGCUCUUUUGUGGGUAUGCUACUGCUUAGCUAGUUAUCCCCAAUUUUGUACAUUUGGAUUUGACUUUCUUUCUCUUGUGUGUCACACCUUACACUUGCCUUUGUUGAAUUUCAUCUAGUAAUUGAUAGCCCAGUUCUCCAUUUUGGCAAGAUUCCUUUGAACUUUAAAUCUGUUCUCCAAAGUGUUGGCAACCUCCCACCCAGUUUUGUAUCAAUCUGUACCAAAGUCAUUAAUAAAAAUGUUAAACAUCACUGGGCCCAGAACAAAUCCCUGUGGAAUUCCACUUUGAGACUUCCUGCCUUUAUAACACUGAUUCAUUCACAGUUACUCUUUGCUUAUGGUUAUUCAACCAUCAACAUGUCUACUUCACAGUAAUUUUAUCAAGCCCACAUUUCUACAAUUACUCAUAAGGAUUUGUUCUGGAUCUUGAUUCACAUAUUCACACUCUCUUUUCGUGUGAUACUGUACCAAAAGACAAAAGUCUGUAUGUUAUGACCACUGCAUUCCCCUCUGCAUCUGUCAAGAUGUUGGAUGGUCAUUCAUUCAUGCAUUCCCCUCACCCACUUAACUAGUUAUUCUGUCAAAGAACAAAAUCAAGUUGGUUGGGUAUGGUUUAUCCAUAAUAAAUUCAUAUAGGCUCCUAGUGAUCAUUCCUUUGUCUUUCAGGUCUUCACAGAUGGACUGUGUUACAAUUUGCUCUUGGAAGUUGGGCUGACUGGUUUAUAAAUGCUUUGUCUUCUUUGUGGCCCUUUUUAAAAAUGAGCACUAGGUUAGCCUUUCUUCAGUCCUCUGGGACUUCACCUGCCAUCCAUCACUUUGUAAAUAUUAUUGCCAGUAGCUCUGGGAUUUUUACAGCCAGUUUCUGCAGGAUCCUGGGAUAAAUGUCACCAGUGCUUGCUAAUUUAAAUAGAUUCAAAUUUAUCAAAAGUUCUUUAUUUUUUAUGAUUUGAAGCCCUUUCCCUUCUUUGUUUAUAUUUAUUUUGUUAGUUGUCUGAUUGGAGGGGGGAGGAUGCUUUGUUUUCUUUUUUAGAAGUAGUCAGGUGCCAGCUCUGCUUUUUUUGGAUCUUCCAUUAAUAGCAUACCCACACCAUUGAACAUUGGAUUUACAGUUUCACUAGUCUUUCUUUUCUGUCUGACCUUCCUUGCCAGUUGCAUCUCAUUUUUCAUCUUUGCUUUCCUGAUUUUGUCCUUAUAUAUUUUUGCUGUAUCCCUUGGUAUACUUCCUUAGUGACUCACCCUGGGCCUUUUUCUCCUUCCACCUAUUAGGAUAAAACUGGUUAAAACAAUCCCUUAGGAACUGCCAUUCCUGAUCUGGCCCAGGGUCCAUGUGACAGGGACAAGCUAUUUCAGAGGAAGUCUUAUGCAAUAAUGUAGUUAAUAUUUCAUACAAUAACAGCAUGGAAGUGAGCAUUCUGGAGGAAGGACUGCAUUUGGCUUUGAGAGAAGAGUGGAAGUGCUGUAUUUUUCUCUAGAGAUCUGGUUGUUAUAGUCCAGGAUAUAGUCUGUGUUCAUCAGAUUUUGUGUGUCAAUGCUAAAGUGGAUUAGGGUGGUAACUGCUCCACAUGUCACAUACCAUUUGCUAUGUUCAUAGAUAACACACUCCCACUCUCUCCUGCAUGGUAUACAUGACAGAGUGUCAGUACAAAGAGGACAGGAAGGGCAUGGCUGUGUAUUUUCACAUGCUACUUUUAUUCCUUUUUCACAGAUGGAUGAAAGAACCCUGGAUCUACCCAGCCACAGCCUUUUGGUUUAUUUUUCCUUUUUGGUUGACAUUUUACUGAGCAUUUUAUUAUUUUAGAUAAAAAUCAUCUUUAAUUUCA